rnacentral:lncRNA from 1 species
GUCCAGAGCUGUCCUGAUGUUUCAGUGAGAUGAUGGGCACAGAGGUGUCCUGAAGACUGUGAAGAGCUGCCCAGGGACCAGCUUACCUCUGAGAGGGCAACAGGAGGAGUGAUUCUUCUGUGCCCCAUGAAAGGCAGGGGCCUGUCUCCAGAAUGUCCCCUUGACUCACCAUAAAGGAGGGAAAGAUCCAUUUACAACACUUCUCAAGCACCUCUUAGGCAAGGCGCUGAGUUGGAGGCAUUCACACGGAUACCCUCAUGGACCCCAGGCAGCCGCUCUGUGACGUCAUGGUGAUCACUCACAUUUCACAGUAAAGAUGGUGGAUCAGAGGGGUAAGUGGUCAGCCAAGGUCACACAGCUGGGGCUCUAGCCACAUGGGGAGGAGGUGCCUGGAGAAGGGGUGUUCCCUUUCCUGGGGUGUGAAAUGGUCUAGCCCAUGAGUCACCACUAAGGGAGAGCUUCUCAACUGGCUGAAUGGACGUGGCCAAGGGAGAGUCCUGGCUGGCUGUGAGGAGUGUCAGCAGGAAGAAGCAGAUGUCAGAAAUACAGGAAAGCACAGGAAGAGAUUGGAAAGACCCCAGCAUCUCCCUCCAGGCGAGCCUCUGUGCAUGUUUGGGUGUCCAUCCAUCCAUCCUUUUCUACCCCAAAUUGUACCCUGAAUCAAUCUUUCCGAGCUUGCUUAAUAAUAUCAUUCGUUCACGGAGAACCUGCUUUCCCAAGUUUGUGAACAGUGGUGUGCUUACCAUACAGCCAGUGCUAUGCCAGGCUCUAGAAGUUCCACGGACAUCACGAGGAGAGGCGACUCUUCCCUUGAGAGGUCCCCAGCCUCGGGGGUGUGGAGACAGAUGUGCUUCAACAGUCACAGGACCAGAUGGAAGACUGUGCCUGGGACACGUCAUGGGAAGAACCGGUGCAUGGUGCUGAGUGCUCUGGCCUGGUCUGCAGGGUCCGGGGUGCUGCCCUGGGGAGGGUCCUCAGUGAUGGUCUGAAGUAUGACCGUGACUGACAGGAGGGGUGAGGAUGCCGCCUGGCAGAGGCCCUGGUCCCGGGGCAGCAGGACGCAUCUCUGGGCGGCCAGCAUGGCUCAGUGGGGGCUGCGGAGGAAUCUGUGGAGACUGGCUGUGGCUACAGGCCUGGAGAGUGUGGGCAGCCUACGAAGCACACGGGAGCCCUGGCCGGGAUUUGAGCCGGGGGCGGGGGUGGGGGUGGGUCACGAUCUGAUGGACUCCUGGCUGUCCUGUAAGAAGUGCUGGAGAGGCCAGGGGGAUGAGGCCUAGGGGGACGAGAUGAGACUGCAGCAGCCAGCAGAGAGAACUGACCGUUUCGGGUGAUGUCCUAGUGGUGGUGUCCCCUGUAGGACCUCAUGCCAGCCAGACCCGAUCAGAAAGUCCUCCCCAAGCUCCUCUCUGCCCCCGGGCCAUUGCAUGUGCUGGCCUCUGGCCCCGGUUCCUGCACACACUGCUGCCUGCCCUUGGUCACAGCUCAAGCGCUUGACUUCCCCUCGCAAGCCAGCCUCCUGCUCUCCUGACCUCGGC